rnacentral:lncRNA from 1 species
UUCAUCAUCUGAAUUUGUAUCAGACAGUAUCCUCAAUGCAGCACCACGAGCAUCGAGUCUUGCAUCAUCAUCGGCACUUAAGCUGUUGCUGUGCCGGACUAUGACAGGAUAGUUUUUGCCAGAUCGAAAGAUUUUAUGGUCUGGAAAUCCUUUGAUGUUGUCAUAUAUUUUGAGCAUUCCCUUUCCACUAACACCAAUUCGAUGAAAGUAUCUUGUUUUCACCUUGAGAGUUGUUGCGGCUAAAUUCGCAGAUAGAUUGCCAACUAUCUUCUUGUAUUUCGUAUCCAUCUCUUCGAUCCUUUCAUCCAUCGCGUGAUGUGUGUUCUUUAUCAUGACCAGGGAUUGAUUUCCAACAUAAAUACCACCGCUACGAAGAACAGAAUUCAUCGGAGCAACUGAAAGUGCACCAAGAAUAACAUCUGUUUGAAUAAGUGAUCUUGGAAGGACAACACUUUGGCUCCCAACAACUGAAUUGUCUUGUACCUCAA